AAACAUCCCUUAUCACCACACCCUUGACAACUGGGAGGGCAUUUGGGUUGAAGUUGUCAUCAGGGUGGUCGCCAACGUCUCCUGCGAUUUUUAUCCCCGUUCGAGCCUUUUCCAUGUAUACAUUGGACACUGUGAUAUUUCUUAUGACCCCUCCCCUGCCAAUGUUGGUCUUCAGAUGAAUGCCGACACCCAUGUUGUAAAGGUUUAUGUGCUCAGCAAAGACAUUCUGCACGCCACCGGAGGUUUCACUCCCAACUGCUAUUCCAGCAAAUGGGGAUGAUCCUGUUAUCCUCCGGAUGGUGAUGCCGGAGCUAGGGCGUCCAUAAGCAAUUCCAUACUCAUCCCACCCACUUUUCACAGCUACAAGGUCAUCCCCAGUAGAAAUGUAGGAGUCCUCUAUGCAGACAUUGGAGCUUGAAUCUGCAUCAAUCAACAUAUAUGGAGUCAAACUUCAUAAUCGUCGAAUUCCCACCGAAACCAGAGGCAAAUGUGGUUGUCAUGGGACGGAAUUGGAGUAACAGAACCCAAUCAUUAUAGGACUGGAUUAGGGCUGGUUUGCUCCAUCCUUUUUUUAUUUUUUAUAUCUUUUCCCCUCAAAUGAAGAAAUAAAUAGGAAACAAAAAUCCCAUAGCUAGGCUCCAUGCAGUUGACAAGACCCUACUUGGGAUGCCUAGCUGCUGUAGGCAACUACAAAAUGAUCCAAAGAACCAAGCCCAUACCCUGGAUCGAAUGGGUCAAUAGCAAAUUCUUUUAGUUCCUUGUGGAUUUUUCAUGUAAUAAAUGCAACCUAAAUCAUCCCCGUUUACUUUCCUAAUGCCUGAAUUAUUCUGAUGUUCUUUUCUUUUGUAAACAUCUAUCCCUCUAUUUUCAUAUUCAUUUUAUAUUCUUUGUUAAACUGUUCCCAAUGUUUCUUUCUGAUAAGCCUCAAGACGAUUGGUCUCAGGUUGAAUAAAUUGCAAAUUUUAAAUUAGUGACUGGGGUUGAAAGUGCUGAUCUAUGUGAUUUGCGGUGCAUCUAAAUGCCUAUGCAAGAAGUGGCAAAUCUAAAUGGUAAGUGCUGUGCGAAUAAAUGUGAACACAUAUAAUGACAAAAACUUGUUCACACAAAUAAUGACAAGCUCACACAGAUAAUGGCAAACAACUGACCAACACUAGAAUUACAGAAGUGUAUACCUGGAUCAAUACCAUCCGUGUUGGGAGAGUCAUGUGGAGCCAAUAUGGUGACAAAUUGAACAACGACAUUUCUGUAGAUAAAAAAAUAAGUAUUAGAUUUAUUAGGCUGUAUCAAGUGUACUCAAACUUCAUAACUCAUUAUAACAUGAAUGCAAUGCACAGUUGGCCCCAUAUUUGUAGGGUUCUGCACAAGCAUAGUGUGCGAGAACCAAACACUUCAUGAUUACACCCAACCUUGGCCAAUUCCACAGCUUUUCAAAAAGCCCCUUACAGCAGCAUGGGUUAGAACUUUGUAAAACAAAUAAUUGCUUUUCAACAAGCAAUAUGCUUUAUCAAUAUUCAAAAUAUUGAAAGCCAUUCAACUUUUAGUAAAGAACUCAUAAUUUUACAGGGACUAAUGGGCCUUUGGUUGAUAAAUCAAUUGGUUGGAUCACACAUAAUAAGGGUCCUCAAUCAAUUUAAAAGUUCAUAGGCUCCCUGAAACUUUAAUUAUGAGAAAUAUAUGUUCAAAUGGAGGAUAUUUAUACUGAGUCGAUCUUUAAAAUGUAACAUCUAUUAAGUUUAAAAUCAAUGUUCAACUAUUACCUGCAAUAAACAGGAUGAAUGUUCCAGAAGGGAGAGUCCCUAAAAAUCACAUUGGAAAUAAUAAUGUUUCUGGAAUUUAUUAAUUCAAUGAGAUUCGGCCUAGUGAAUUGAAGGGUUCUCUGCCUCCACAUGUUCCACCAGACUUCACCUUGGCCAUCAAUUGUCCCAUUCUCACCUAUGAAAGAACAAUUGAUCAGGUUAAUAAAACUUUAUUUGGCACAGAAAUUGUUUAUAAUGUCACAGAACAGUACCAAUACUCAUCCCAACAGGUUCAUGAAACCAUGGGAUUAUAAAUUGUGAUUUUUCUUGAAUCUAGAGCUUGUUUCUAUUAAUGGUUCCUACAGACGUUAAAAUAAUUUAGAUCGCUUAAUCUAGAUAGAAGGCAUUUACUCAUAUGUCUGAGGAUCAUCACAAAUAAUCAACAAUUCCUUUUGUAGAUACCCACCAGUGAUUAUCACAUCAUGAACACCAUCUGCAUGGAUAAAGCUCAUAUACCUCCCUCCAGGCAGCUCCCUCCCUCUUCCAUAAGAUGGCAAGGGAGCAAUUAAAGGCCAACUACCAGUAUCCUGAAACAUCAAGCAAGAAGGAAAGUUCAGACGAUGUAUGAAUGAGAUAAGGGCCAAAACCCAAGGACUAUGUUGUUCUUAUUUUGGCAAGAUGCUCAGUAUACUUAUAAAAUAUGUAAAAGAAAUUAGUGAAAGGCUCAAAAUCAAAAUCAAAGACAUGAAACCUAAGAGCAUGAUAAAGAAUCUGAAUCUCUACAAAUGGUGAAAUUUUAAAAAGUGUGGUAUUUGAAGAAAUAAUCUUUUAUGUAUCAGACUUUCUACUCUUUCCCCUGCAUGGUCAACGUUCUGCACCCAAAAUGGUUUCAUUUUGUUAUUCAUAAUAGGUUAAGGCACAAACCUAUAAUUUCAGGCCAAGUCAUAACAGAAGCAAAUUGGAGUUGUUAAAAGAGGGUAGAAAUCCACACCAUAGAAUUAUCAUGGUUGUUACAAAAAAUGCACUAACUCAUUUUCAUUGAAUGUGAAAUUCCCUUAAAGACGUACAAUACCACAUCCAGCCUAUCAAUUGUUAAAGGCAACGAUACUAAUGCUGGCAGACCAAAAGUCAUGAGAACCAACAGAUUGUGUAAUCUAUUAAUAAACAAAUUUGAACAAUCAAUGAGCUCUAGGUAAUCCUAGAUUUGUGAAAUGCUUCUGGGACCAUCGCCACAAGACUUUCCCACAAGCCCUUGGUUUUUAAAAUUAUAUUGCAUGCUACCAAAUCUCUCAAAGAAGCAUUUUGGAAACUUACCAUUUCCAUAACCUUAAGUUUAAUAACUCAAAACAAUACGAUCUAGAAAAUUUAGAUUAUUGAGUUCAUCUAUAAGAUAAAUUACCUUUACAUUUUAGACAAUUUGUGGUCCUAGUUCAUAGCCACAUUUGAUGAGCAAUUAGUUUUAACAAUGCUCCAAAUUGUAUAAGAACAAGAUGGGCUUGUCGUGUGGGCUCCAAGUACAGGACAAGCCUGUUCCAUCAGACAGGGUGCAUUAUGCCCUCAUAACUACAGACGCGGCAUUAUUUUCAGCCAUAAAAAUAGUGAGCUGGCCGUAAUUUAUGGUAAUAAUAAUCAUAGCAAUUGUCUCCAAUCCUAAAUUUGUAUUAUAUAAAUUAAAUAUUUCCAUUGAUUUGAAUUGCAUAUAACAGCAAUUACUUUAGAACGGUAUGGAGUUUAACAUUCAAUACAAGGGUCCCAACCAUCCUCACUAAAGCCACAGGGGUACCUGCAUCCACACACUUCAUAUGCAUCGAUAUUAUUCUAAGUUAAUGUAAACAUCAAGACCAUGACAUCACUGGCCACUAUCUAGCUGUCCAAAUAUAUCCAAUUGCCGGUACUCCAAUCCUUUGCACAUGCAAUGGUGCUACCAAUUCAAUCCAGAGGACCCACAGUAUUUUUUCUUUGCUUUUUUUAUUUUUUGGUGGGGAGCACAAGGACUAGUGAUAUUAACCCAAUCUAACCAGGUCGUAAUUAAUAAACAUCUCAAACAAGUUACAGAAUAAUUUAGUCAAUGCACGGAUUCCAUCGCAUCAAAGGUUUUCAUGCUGAUUAUUCAACCAAAAAAAGUGCUUCUCACCCAAUCAAAGCCUUCCCCACUAAAUUUCUGGCUUUUCUGAGUUGGCAUACUACAUUUGCCAUACUACAUUGCAUAAGUGAUGAACUUAAAAGAAAUCGGAGACCUAGUCCAAACCCAUAUCCAAUUUAUUGAAUUUUAAAACCAAAUUGGCAAAUUCUCAUAAUUUGAUUUUUUUAUUUUUCUUCCAGCCAUUUGGCCAAAUUUCCCAAAAGUUCCUCAGGAUUAAAUGCAACAUCAAACUGGCCAGCUUUUCCAAAUUUCCCCAAUAAACAAUCCAUUUGUUCUAUCCAAAUAAAGAUUCCCAGCCAAAUCUACAUUUUUCCCAUAUGCUCAAUCACUAUGAUAAAGCUUAACCUAACAAACACUGGAUCGACAUUUGGGAGAGAGUGCGUACCUGGGUGGCUCUGAUAACAGCAUCUUUAGACAAGUAGAGAGUCAUAUGACUGGUAAGAUUAAAGCUCUCCGUUAAGUAGACCCCAGGAGGUAUAUAAAGCAGCGUGCCCCCUCUCCUCCUCAGAUGCUCAAUCCGAUAUAUCGCCGCCCGAAACGCCUUCGUGUUCAGCGUCUUCCCAUCACCGACACCUCCGAAAUCUUUUAUCGAGAUCACAUCGUUCCGGUGCCGCAUCGGCACUAUCCCGGAGCAUGUCACAUCUCCGGCCAGCACCAAUCGGGUCAGAAACAGCGCAGUGGCCGCGAAACACAGGAAAAUCCAGACCACAAACCGACACAUUUUCACAACUUCAACUUCUCCGACCUCUAUGAGCCUGAAUAACUUCAGCAGCCAGUAAACACCAGUGAGAGAAGAUAGCACAGCAGGAGCUGGUUGGGGAAACGCACUUUCUGGGAAAAUCCGCAAAAUGUUCCGGGGAAAUCUGAGGAAAAAACCAGGAAGAAAAUCCAACAAAAUCUUUAAUGGAAGAAAACGAGAAAAUAAUCCAAGAAAUCUGAGAGUAAUUUGGUAGUGAUUGCAUGAGGAAAUGUACAAAGGAAAAUGGUUGGAGACUUGCUUUAAGAUUGAGAGAAAUGAGGCAGAUCUGAGUGUGAAGCCAAGGAGACAGCUCCAAAUGAAAACUAAUUAACAAAUGGGACGAUUCUAGUGAGAGAAAAUCUCAAAAAUUGAAUGAUUUCAUUUCGGAGUGAAGACCAUAAAUUAGUGUGGAGAGCUUCUUUGCUUCGGGAGCUGUGAGAAUUCUGGAUGAGUGGUUUGUUAAUAAAGUAGUUCGUGACGUGUCAUUUCAUGGGCAGUUUUGCCCGUUACUAUUAUUUUAUUUUCCCCUUUUGACCUUCAAAGGGAAAAGUGCCCUUUCACAAACAUUUUUUUAAAAUAGAAAAAAAAAUCAAAUUUAAUAUAUUAAAAUAAAAUUAAUUAUUACUACUAUAAAUAGAUAUUAAUUAUUUUCAUUUUUAUUUUCAAAUAACAUUCUUUUUCUUUAUUUUUAAACUUAAAUAAAAAACUAGAAAUAAUUCAAAUUUUUGCAUAUAUAUUUAGUUAUUUACCAUAUAAAAAUUUAGAUCUUUAAAUUAACAUAAUAUUUUCAUUGUAACAUUUUUAUUGGAAAUUAUAAAUGCUUCUAAAAAGAACCAAUUCAUCUUUAAAUUUAAACUAAAAGAAUACUUUAAUAAUGUUUUUUAUCAUCCAUUAAUUCUUUCAAGUAAUUUUUAAAAUUUUUAAAAAAUUAAUUAAAUUUUUAAUUUUUAUAAUGAAAUAUUAUCACACAUUAAAAAACGUUUAUAAUUCUUUUAAAAUCCCCCUCAAAUAACCCUUUUUAGGCUAAUUGAUUAAAUUCAUUCAAAGACAUAAAGAGAACCUUAUCAUUAUGGCCCAUACAACAUUGCAUGGCUUUGUUAUCUUGAUUCGUAUGAGGAGGUUGGAGAUUUACAUAUAUAUAAAGGUUUCUAUAUUUUAAAGAAAAUGAUGCAUAUUGAAAACCAAAAAAUUAAAUAAAAAAUAAUAAGAAUUUUAAUAUUUUAAAAUAAAAUUAGAAAUUUGAUUUAAAGUAUGAUUGAUUUAAAAUAAUAUCAAUUCUAUAACUUUGGAAAGGCCUAACGAAUAACAUCACUAUUGGUUUUAACGCUACGGAGAGCUCAUUCUAGAAAACAUAUGCAAUUGUUCAUAAAAGAAUGAAAAAUUUAAUUGCAUUUCAGUUUUAUAAUUACACACCAAAUCCCUUUUUUUUUUUUUAAAAAAAAGGAAGAAGACAAAGGAGGACCCAUUUCCAUCCUAUCAUAUCAUGUGAAGUUUAAAUGUUUAAUGGGACUGCGGAUCGAGUGGACCAAAUUUAUGGAAUCAACUACGGGCCAACUCAUAGUCAUAGAAAGUUGGACCCCACUAUUCUAUGGUGGCUUCGGCACCACCGGAUUUUUUUCCCUCUUCCUAUUGUUUUACUAUUGUUCUUUUUUUUUUUUAAAGUCAUGAAAAAUGAUAAAUUCCCCAAUCCAAGGGUCUUUCCGGCCGACUCAUUAUUUUAUUUAAAAAAAUAAGGGAUAAAAAUACCUUUAUUUUCUUCAUCCCAACACGAUGCACCUAAACACUCUAAUCCCACUUCUCCUUUUUCUGUCUAAAAAAACAAAAAAUUCUUUGACUUUUUUGUUCUUUUUAUUCUCUUUUUCCUUACUAUUUUAGUUGAAAAAAAAAAGAACUAUAGGAUUAAAAUUUUGGGUGUACGGGGUUGGUAUGAAAAAGAAAAAAAUGAAAGCAUUAUUGAUAGUGUGCAACGAAUUUAGAUGAGAUGUUGAACACUCUUCUUUCAAGUUUUUCUGGUUUUGUUUUCAUUUCCAUUUUGAUUUUUAUAUUUAAAUGCUUGUCUCUGUCUUACAGCUUUUCAUAAAGCUAAGGAUAAGAGGUGGAGACUGAAUUUCUUGGCUGAUGUUAAAGCUGAAAGCCAAAACCACAGAGUCACAGACCUAUGCGCCGUUCCACUUCUCCACGGUUUAUUAGUUGGGUUCGAAUCCACCACAGAUCUGAUGACGCAUGAUCCCCUGUCCGUCACUCCUCUCUUUUGAGAGGAUUUGAAAAAUAUAAAGUAUUUUUGCUUUCAAACUAAAAAUUAACAUGAAGUAUUUUUCAUAAAUUGUUAUAUAUAUCUAUAGUAAGAGUGAAAAAAAAUUGUAGUAAAAAUGUGGCAAUAUAUAGUGAAAAAUAUUAGAUAAAAAAAGAAAAAAUAAUAAUAAUUGUAAUAUUUUUUUAAAAUUUUCAUUAAACUAAAACUCACUCUUCUGGAAAAAUCACUUUGAAAUGUGUAAAUUCCACAAUGAGAGCCAUUUAAGAAGCUCUCAAAAAAAAAAAACCAUUUAAUUAUUUUCACUUUGACAUGAAAAGAGCCUAACUUUCCCCAUUAAAAAAAUUAGAGGUGCCCAAGCAAAUAUCCCCAGAAAACGUAAAACUUGUCCAACUGAUAAGAAAAGGCAAGAGCAUUGAUGUUAUAAACAUCAUACAGAAAAUAGAAACACAGAAAUUUUUGUGGCUCAAAAGACUUCCAUCUUUGAUAAGGUAACAGUAAGUGUCCUAUAGAAUCUAGAAAUGGCGACUAGAUAAGGACAUGUCACAAUAGCUUGAACCUGAGAGUUCUACAAUCUACGAUACCUUUUCACUGUUACUAGGAUGGUAACAGCCAUUCUUGGAUCCUCUUUAUUGUGAGUAUGUGAUCCUGGGCAGCAUCAUUUUCUGGAGAAAAUAUUCAAAAACUAGUUAUGGGCAAGCAUGGAUAUUUACAAACAGAGAUUAAUACAAACCAUGGUGGUUAAAACCCAAAGAAUCCAUAGGGGAAGAUUAACCUAGUCUGUGUUUUUUUUCUUUUUUUUUUUUUUCAUUUCAGAAACCUGUAGGAUGUAAAAAGAGAUUGAUCAUGUGCUACUAUAGACACAGAUGUCCGGGUAGCAUUGAAAGGAAGAGAACAGGAAAACAGGCAUAAACAAACUACAAAAGAAAAUCUUCAGAGUACCAGUCUCUGUACUCAGCACCAGUCAUAGUUGGACUCUGGUGUCCAAUAAGCUUCAAAUGUUCCUCAAAUGCUUUGCCCACAGCAGCUCACAGCAAUCAGAUCGUUGAUGCUAGGACCUUUUUGAGUGAAGGCACUUACAUUCUGUCAAUGGGUUCUGUCCGGUCCUGUAUUGCCAAUCGCUCUGACACAUCAGCCAAUGACUUCAGGUUGCACUUGAUCAAGGCUUCUACGAAGUAGCAUGUUUCAUCCUUGGUGUUUCCAUCGGGCACAUCUACCACAAAUGAUUCGAUCACUAGUGUCCCUGGUCUCCCAUCUAUAAUCUCAGGAUGGACAGUAACAAUGGACGAGUAAUUCUGCAUAUUUGAGAAAGAACAGUGAACAAGGUUGAUGUAGGAAUGGUGAGCAAGGUUGGAGUAAUCUUAAGCUGGAUGAGAAAUUGCAUCAGCACAAUACAUUUCCAAAUCACAUAGGGAGGGAAAACAGAAUAUUCUGCAGUGAAUGCAUCAUAUAGAAGCAAAUAAAUAAGAUUUAAAAACCUCCAUUCACCAGUGACCAAAGUGGCUCCAAAUACAAAAGGCAAAGAAACAACUGAAAAAUUAUAUCCAUUUCAAAAUGGAGCAAUAUGCCUAGCAUUGGGGCACAAAGCAUUACCAAGGCAGCAUUGAAGAUGCUCAGCAACGGUUUGAGAAUAUUAACACACCUCAUGUUUGCAUAAAGACACUUUUGGAACUUACCCAUUACACCAACAAUCAACCCAAAGCCUACAAGUUCCAUUGACAACUCAUUGCACGAAGUUGUUGCAAGUGAGGUGUAAUUCGCCUUAUUGAGCUAAUGAUGUCUUUCACGGUGAAGGGAUUUUACUGACAACAAUGAAUGACUUUGGAAUAGUGUCGGUCCCGGGAAUUUUAUUAGUCAUGGAGCAAUGACUCGCAGCACUGGACCAUUCAUCGAGCAAUCUUUAUCAGCAUUUCAUGGCCACAAAUCACCACAAGAUGAUGGUGGGUCAUCUACUACCAUUCAGGUUUAUUGAUAGGGAUAUGGGCAAC
rnacentral:lncRNA from 1 species